UACGGAGGGAGCUAGCGUUGUUCGGAAAUACUGGGCGUAAAGCGCACGUAGGCGGCGCAGCAAGUCAGGGGUGAAAUCCCGGGGCUCAACCCCGGAACUGCCUCUGAAACUGCAGUGCUAGAAUCUUGGAGAGGCGAGUGGAAUUCCGAGUGUAGAGGUGAAAUUCGUAGAUAUUCGGAAGAACACCAGUGGCGAAGGCGACUCGCUGGACAAGUAUUGACGCUGAGACGCGAAAGCGUGGGGAGCAAACAGG
rnacentral:rRNA from 1 species